rnacentral:ncRNA from 1 species
GUGCUUUCAAGGUGUUCGCGCUUAAUGAGGAAGCAGGUGCAAAACCUGCGCGGUCCCGCCGCUGUAACGCUUAUCGAUUUUCGCAGAACCACUGGAUUUUCCGGGAAGGGCGAAAUAGGAGCGAAGCCAGAAGACUCGCCUUGAA